rnacentral:rRNA from 1 species
UACGUAGGGUGCGAGCGUUAAUCGGAAUUACUGGGCGUAAAGCGUGCGCAGGCGGUUUUGCAAGCCGGACGUGAAAUCCCCAGGCUCAACCUGGGAACUGCGUCCGAUACUGGAUGGCUUGAAUUCGGGAGAGGGAUGCAGAAUUCCAGGUGUAGCGGUGAAAUGCGUAGAUAUCUGGAGGAAUACCGGUGGCGAAGGCGGCAUCCUGGACCGACAUUGACGCUGAUGCGCGAAAGCCAGGGGAGCAAACGGG